rfam:Endozoicomonas montiporae strain LMG 24815 scaffold00001, whole genome shotgun sequence.
GGCGGCGGACCCGCCGAAGUCGGCUGUCGGAAGCAGGCUUCAAANCUUAAUGGAAAUCGCAACUGACCCGGAAGGU